rnacentral:lncRNA from 1 species
CGAGUACCCGCUUAACGAAAUGCCCGUGCACCGUUAAUAAAGUACAGUAACUGUCAAAUAUACUAGGAACGAAAUAAUAUGUAUAUUCAUUAUACAAAACCAGGAGUUAAAAAAGAAUUCCAAAUUUUAUGUCGCAGGAGAUUCAAAUUUUAAUUCAAGUAGUUGAGAAAAUAAAAUCUUUACUAUUUAGCAUACUGAGAAACACAACAAAUAUUUGUAUUGCAAUUAACAUGAAAUUAUACAUGAAAAGUGAUUAAAAUUUUAGUUGACAAUCAUAAGACCAUCAUAAGUCAUGUCGCGAGGGGUCUUAAUUUUACGACAAAAGUUAUGACAAAUCGUAACUUGGGACACUUUCGAAAACAUAUCUUACGACUAUGACAUGUCAUAAGACCAUCAUAAGACAUGUCUUAGUCAUAAGAUACUUUCGAAAACCAGGCCCCAGGAUUUUA